GUAGAUGGCUCUUACUAUGUUGUUCAGGCUGGUCUCUUACUCCUGGCCUCAAGUGAUCCUCCUGCCUCAGCCUCCCAGUGUUGGGACUACAAGCACCAGCCACUGCCCCCAACCCUGCAUUAUGUUCUUAAAGGCAGACCUGAAUCCUGUGCGGUGUCAAUUCAGGUGUGCACUGGCCCCUGAGCCUUACAUACAGGACCCGUUCCUUAGGAUGACGUUGCGUUCCCUUGCUUAGAGCCUCAGCACCAUGGCACCUGGCUCUCCCCCGAUGCCUGGGUCUUGCUCUUGCCCAUUUCCUAGCCAGGGUUUGUGGUCCAGGCAACCUGUCACAUCAGUGUGUUCCAAACAUGGCACCCAGAUCUCAAAAGCUUCUUCAACGCUCCCAUGGUUUGGGAUACACCUCAAGUUUUAACUUACGUACUUCAAGUUUCUUUUAUUCAAUUAGAUACAAACCGUCUGACUUUUGGCUUCUGAAACAGGAAAGUCAAUUUUGUUGUUUUCACUGUACCAUGCUUUUUUAUCUCAGAAUCUUGAUGAACUCUGAAAUGACCCCUGAUGGGGGCAUGCCUCUAUUUAUGCUGAAUAAGAGCCAUUUUACAUUUUACUACAGGUUGAGUGCCCCUAAUCCAAAAAUUUGAAAUGCUCCAAAAUCUGAAACUUUUUGAGCACUUACAUGGUAUUGAAAGGAAAUGCUCAUUGGAACAUUUCCUAUUAGGCAUGCUCAGCCGUUAAGCAUAAUGCAAAUAUUAAAAAAAAAAAUUUCCUAAAUCUUUUAAUACUUCUGGUUCCAAGCAUUUCAGAUAAGGGAUACUCAAGCUCUACCUAUUCCCAAAUUCCCACUAACUAGCUCUUUGGCAGGUCUAUGGAAUAAAAAUCGAUGCUUCUGAUUACUUUAAGGCAUUAUAACCUCAUGAAGUGGUUUCUGAGAUGCAACUGAGUUUUUGUGCUAUUUUAUUGUAUUCUUAUAUCUUUGAAGAUGAAUAAUCCACGUAGUGCAUUUGAGAGGUUCUAUCUGUUCAAGAGAGGAAAUUUAAUAUCCGUGACUACUGUAUGUCAAAUGAUUUAGUGCCUUAUUUAAUUUGUUCCUCUAGGAGUCCUGUGCACUUAUCUUGGGGGAAACAUUGUUCCAUUCUUAGUAACAUGCCUGUUUGGCCUGUGGUCUGAGGUACUUACAACUUGCUGCAGUGUGGUAAAUGUGUCCCUUUUGAAACACUGUUCUGGGGACUUCAGAGAUGACGGACUGCAACCUACCACCUCAUAAAUGAGGGAUCUGAGGUACAAACUGGAACCCGGGUCUUCUGGGCUCAGAGAACUCUCCUCACUACAGCAGACUGCCUGUUUCCAUUUAGGGGAAUGAGAUGCUCUUUCAUAAAUGAUACCAAGUGCAAGAGAACUUAAGGCAGCUCCAAUCGAAGACUGUCUUGGCUGCUUCUGGAAACUACAGAUCACUACUCCCGAAGUCAAAAACGACUAGAACACAGCUUAAAAAUCAAGCCAUUUAAUUGUAUCUUUGAAGGUAAACAAUAUAUGGAGCUGGAUCACAACCCCUGAGGAUGCCAGAGCUAUGGGUCCAGAACAUGGUGUGGUAUUAUCAACAGAGUUCAGAAGGGUCUGAACUCUACGUGUUACCAGAGAACAUAAUGCAAUUCAUGCAUUCCACUUAGCAAUUUUGUAAAAUACCAGAAACAGACCCCAAGAGUCUUUCAAGAUGAGGAAAAUUCAACUCCUGGUUUUAGAGAUAAAUGAAUGAAGAGUACCAAAAUAUUUGUUGACUUCUCUUCAUUUUUCUCAUACAAUCUGAAGCCUGAGCUGACUAUCAUAUCCCCAACUCACAGCAGCGAAAGCUGCAGUUCAGAUUUGAGAUCAGUCUCCAUUCACUUCCACGUAGCACCACAGCAAGAGUGACCGGAGGCAGAGAGCUCUUGUUGGGUCAGCUUUCUAAUAAGCAUGUCAAGUGAAAAAGAACCCUCUAGCAGCACACUGAUUUAGUUUGUAAGAUUUUAAUUUACAAAUUAAAAAAGCUAUUUAAUAC
rnacentral:lncRNA from 1 species